ACAGAACACGGAGCUCCACCUUUUCCCACUCACAUUAUCCCUGACACCCUCUUGUAUUUUCAAUGCGCUGGCCCUGCAUGGCUCAUCCCACACCUCAUUUUGCUUUCAAGCCUCCCUAUACAAUACACUCUUGCCACUACUUUAGGUUUCCAUUCAGCACAUAUAAUUCAGGCUGUUUCCAUUUUCCACAUGUAUCUUUUGCCACCUGAGGACUAUUGCCGGCUGGAUCUGGGAGAAUGCCAUGGCACAGGGAGGGUCAUAUGUUUUGGCAAAACUUCCACGUUUUCUCAUCGUCUCAGAAUUCCAGACACUGAAAUUUGAUCACCAAGAA
rnacentral:lncRNA from 1 species